rnacentral:rRNA from 1 species
CGAGGAAUCUUGGGCAAUGGGCGAAAGCCUGACCCAGCGACGCCGCGUGAGGGAAGAAGGCCUUCGGGUCGUAAACCUCUUUUGUGGGGGAAGAAGUUCUGACGGUACCCCACGAAUAAGCCACGGCUAACUACGUGCCAGCAGCCGCGGUAAUACGUAGGUGGCGAGCGUUGUCCGGAUUUACUGGGCGUAAAGGGCUUGUAGGCGGUCCGUUAAGUCUGGUGUGAAAUCUCCCGGCUCAACCGGGAGGGGUCAUCGGAUACUGGCGGACUAGAGGGGGGUAGAGGAAAGCAGAAUUCCUGGUGUAGCGGUGAAAUGCGUAGAUAUCAGGAGGAAUACCAGUGGCGAAGGCGGCUUUCUGGGCCUACCCUGACGCUGAGGAGCGAAAGCGUGGGGAGCAAACCGGAUUAGAUACCCGUGUAGUCC